rnacentral:rRNA from 1 species
UACAGAGGGGGCGAGCGUUGCUCGGAAUCACUGGGCGUAAAGCGCACGUAGGCGGAUUGUUAAGUCAGGGGUGAAAUCCUGGAGCUCAACUCCAGAACUGCCUUUGAUACUGGCGAUCUCGAGUCCGGGAGAGGUGAGUGGGACUGCGAGUGUAGAGGUGAAAUUCGUAGAUAUUCGCAAGAACACCAGUGGCGAAGGCGGCUCACUGGCCCGGUACUGACGCUGAGGUGCGAAAGCGUGGGGAGCAAACAGG